rnacentral:tRNA from 1 species
AGGGUUGUAGUUAAUUAUAACAUUUGAUUUGCAUUCAAAAAGUACUAUUAUUUUAGUCUUCCUUA